rnacentral:rRNA from 1 species
AACCUUUACAAUGCACGCAAGUGUGAUAAGGGAAUCCCAAGUGCUCAAGCAUUGCUUGGGCUUUUGCUAUGUGUAAACAGCAUGGCGAAUAAGUGGUGGGAAAGACUGGUGCCAGCCGCCGCGGUAACACCAGCGCCACGAGUGGCAAUCACGUUUAUUGGGCCUAAAGCGUCCGUAGCAGGUUUCGUAAAUCUCUUGUGAAAUUGCCAAGCCUAACUUGGCAGACUGCAGGGGACACUGCGAGGCUCGAGACCGGGAGGGGUUAGAAGUAUUCCUUAGGGAGCGGUAAAAUGCUAUAAUCUAAGGAGGACUACCUGUGGCGAAGGCGUCUAACUAGAACGGAUCUGACUGUGAGGGACGAAAGCUAGGGGAGCGAACCGGAUUAGAUACCCGAGUAGUCCUAGCCGUAAACGCUGUGAGCUAGGUGUCGCGUAUUCUACGUGAAUGCGCGGUGUCGAAAGGAAGCUAUUAAGCUCACCGCCUGGGAAGUACGGUCGCAAGACUGAAACUUUAAGGAAUUGGCGGGGGAGCAC